AGAUAUAGAGGAAUUCCACGGAGUCAUGUCAGUCGAUCCUGAGCGACCAUUUCAAAAAUAUCUGAAACUUUGCACAGUUUUUCAAUUUCAUAUAAAUCGCCAUUUUUUGAUAUUAAACCUUCAUAUUCACUCACGACUAACUUUUCAAAAGGGUGUAUGCGAAAAUAGUUCUAAAAUAUUCUAAAAGCUGUACAGCAAAAACGGAUUGUUCGAUUGUUAUAAAUUUUUCAGCAAAGUUAGAUAACUAAAUGAUGAUUCCUUAGAAAAUAUACACUGUAAAAAAUUUCUUUUUCUACUUUGAAAAAAUAUGAUAUUUGUCACAAAAACUCAAAUAUCUCAAAACCCUAUCUUUUUACCAACUUCAAUUUUUUAGGGGAAAUGGCCCAUUAUAUCAGCUAUCUACCAUAAAAUUUUGGUGAUGGUAAACUGAUAAACAAAAAAGUUAUGACAUUUCAAACAUUUCACAAUUUUUACAUUUAGUAACAAAAAAAAAUUUUUUUCUGUGUAAAUUAUUUCGAGAAUUAUAUUUUGAUGCUGAUUUUAUUGUAAAGGCUACCGCCUGAAUUAAACAAGUUGUUUUCAUGAUACUUUAGUUUGAUUAUUCGUAAUUACUAUAGUAUCUAUUUGAAACUUAGACGCGAUCCAGUGUUGUGAUCAAAAAUAUUGAGAUUGUCAUACUUUUUAUUGUACGUGACUGGUGAAAAAAUCCCUUGAUAGUGUUGAAAAGCUGUUGAUUAUAAGAAAAAUGGAAUUGAAUUUAUUUUUAAGACAAAAGCUGUAUAAUAAAAGUUUUUUUAUACGCGUAUACGUCUAGUUUAUCCGCAAAAAAAAUCCCUCUUACACACUUAUUUCUGAAUUGCCUGUUCGGUACUUUUUUGACGAGAUUAUAACAGCAGUACGAUCUCGGUAGUUUCGGUAAUCGAUUUUACUGAGGCUCAGUAAAACAACUGUCAAAAUCGUAUGGAAAAGGUAAACAAUGCAUUUUUGCUGAACGAGUUCGGUGCUCAGCAGUUUUAAUCUCGUCAAAAAAUUACCGAACUCGGUAAUCAAAAUUAAGUGUGUAGAGAACAGACUUUAUGAUCGGAAGAAUGCGAGUAACUUCAACAACAACAAAUGCAUAAGAGGUACAUACCACAGACAAACAGACGAAACGCCUAGAACAAUUUUAGUGAAAAUUCAUCGCCCAGUUCACACUAUCACCACCUGGUGGAAAUGUUUCACGAAACACUGCGUUGUGCAAUAUCGUCAUCAGAAGGCGCUAAUUCAAAAUGAUCGUUGAAGGCGUGGUCAAUGAAAAUUUCGCCAGUGUUACGUUUGUUUGUCUGUAUACAUACCUGACAAUGCUCACGAAAAAAAAACAAAAAAAUACUACCGCUAUGAAUAUUAAAAAUUGUAUAGUAUUUUUUUUCUUCAGCCAACAACACCAAACAAGUAAGUUAAAAUUAAUAAGUGAUUUUGUUUAUUAUAAUCUAACGAACAAGAUGAACAGUCGCUUUCUCAAAGGUCUUCAACUCAACGCUCUCUUGUAGACCGUUUGAUGAAAAAAAAUGUUCAAAAGAGUUACGAAAUCUCACCGAAAGCACCAUAGAUAAACUGAAAGAGACUGGUUAUGCCCAAAUGUCCACAUUGUGUACAAAAUUACGCAUUUGCACGUCCUGCCGUCUAGAAUUUGACAAACGAGCCAUCUGUAUAUCAUCGGUAAAGCAGGGCGCAGGAAGUUCGAAAACGACAACAACUGAGAAAUUGCCAUCAGCGACAUCUGUUUAAACAAUUUAAUUACGCCCCUUUUCAAAAAUGCCCUGUAAUAUUCUUCAACAUCUAUCUAUACCCAUUUCAAUAUUUUUAACGUUGCAAAACACGCUUUCAACAUUCAUCUUGAAGAAGAGGGAAAACACUUGUCCUCAAAUGUAACAGCAAAUUAAUGAAUAAACGACUAAUGCGCGGAGGGCGUGAUAAAAUCGGAACAUUACGGUACAUAGUAUAUUAUAUUAUAUGUAUAUAUAAUAUAUAAUAAAAACAACUUGUUUUACUCACGCAAGGCAAUAAAAUCAGCAUCAAACUUCAAUUUCCGGCCGAAAUAAUUAACACUAAAAAAAAUUAUUACUAAAUGUGAAAAUUGUGAAAUGUUUGAAUUGUCAUAACUUUUUUGUUUAUUUUCAUGGUAGAUUGCUAAUACAAUGGACCGUUUUCUCUAAAAAAUUACGUUGGUAAAAAGAUAGGGUUUUGAGAUAUUUGAGUUUUUG